rnacentral:rRNA from 1 species
AUUGAACGCUGGCGGCAGGCCUAACACAUGCAAGUCGAGCGGAUGAAGGGAGCUUGCUCCUGGAUUCAGCGGCGGACGGGUGAGUAAUGCCUAGGAAUCUGCCUGGUAGUGGGGGAUAACGUCCGGAAACGGGCGCUAAUACCGCAUACGUCAUGAGGGAGAAAGUGGGGGAUCUUCGGACCUCACGCUAUCAGAUGAGCCUAGGUCGGAUUAGCUAGUUGGUGGGGUAAAGGCCUACCAAGGCGACGAUCCGUAACUGGUCUGAGAGGAUGAUCAGUCACACUGGAACUGAGACACGGUCCAGACUCCUACGGGAGGCAGCAGUGGGGAAUAUUGGACAAUGGGCGAAAGCCUGAUCCAGCCAUGCCGCGUGUGUGAAGAAGGUCUUCGGAUUGUAAAGCACUUUAAGUUGGGAGGAAAGGCAGUAAGUUAAUACCUUGCUGUUUUGACGUUACCAACAGAAUAAGCACCGGCUAACUUCGUG